rnacentral:lncRNA from 10 species
GCAGCCUCUGCAUCUCCACCCUGGGCCUGUGGGACCACGCGGGGCUCUCAGACGGCUUCCCACUGGCUGUGGGCUGAAGACAGGAGGGAGGUGCGCAGAGAUGAGGAUGAGGUGCCCUAGGAGGGGCCCCUCUCCAGCCUGGAGUGUCCACUGCAAGUGGAGUCCUAGACGGCGGUGGGCAGCCAGUAGUCACUAAAGAGUCUGACACGACAUGUCACAAGCCCUGCCCGGAACCCUGUUCCCACAAAUGGUGGGGAAGGACCACCCCUGGUCUCCAGAAAUGAAUCUGAAAAUUCGCUGGUUUGGGAGCCGUGAGAGCAGCUCCGUCAUUUGUUCGACCCCCGUUCAGGGAGUAUUUCCUGGGAGCCUCUAAGUGCAUCUGCGGAGAAGGCUGGAAAGCAGGGCCCUGCUGGUCCAGAAGCUCUGACCAGCGGGAAGCUACUGGAGCCCAGCGUGGUCCCGCAGGCCCGGGGUGGAGACUCAGGGGCUGGUCGGUGCCACUCGUGGUCCCCCAGGCCAGAGCAGCCCAGGCCUCUGCUGGAAACUCAAGCGCUCUCUGAUUUAAAUGAAGACGCCUUGAAGAGCUCCGGCUGUCCUGGAUGGAUGAAGCAGCAUAGGCAUGACUUGGAAGGAUGUGCGGUGGAAGGGGGGUCGCUUCACUGCCAAGAAACCCUUCCUGAGUCUUCUGGAAAUUUCAGGAAAGGCUGCUCAUCCCAGGAGGCUGAAAAAGUAUGGCUGUGUGUUGGGUGGGCCUAAUGCAGGGCAGCGGCCAGGCUGGCACUCAAGUGUGUGUGUGUGUAUGUGAGUGUGAGUGCAAGAGUGUGUGUGUCUGUCUGUGAGUGUGUGAGACUGUGUGUGACUGUGUGUCUGUGUGUGAGAGUGUGUCUAUGAGUGUAUGUCUGUAAGAGUGUAUGUAUGAGUGUGUGACAGUGUGUGUGAGCAUAUGUGAGUAUGUAUGUGUGUCUGUGAAAGUGUGAGUGUGAGUGAGCAUGAGUGCGUGUCUGUGAGAGUGUGUAUGUGAGAGUGUGUUGUGUCUGUGAGAGCAUGUGUGUGAACGUGUUUAUGUAUGUGAGUGUGUAUGCAUCUGUGAGUGUGUCUGUGAAAGUGUGUGUGAGGAUGAGUGUGUGUCUGUGAGCAUGUGUCUGUGAGAGCAUGUGUGUAUGUGUGUGAGUGUGUAUGUAUCUGUGAGUGCGUCUGUGAAUGUGUAUAUGAGUGAGCAGGAGUGUGUGUGUGGUCUGUGAGUGUGUGAGCGUGUGAGAGUAUGUAUUUGAUUGUGUAUCUGAGACUGUGCAAGUGUGUGUGUGCCUGUGUGCAAGUGUGAGUGUGUGUGUCUGUGUGUAAGUGUGAGUGUGUGUGAGUUUGUGUGUUCAUAUGUGAGUUUAUCUUCCGUGAGAAUUUUAGGCGAAACUGAGGAGAACCGCAGUCAUCUGACGUUGUCAUGAUGGCUGAAGUCCAGGUCUCAGAUCUGGGUGGAAGCACUGGGUCUGAAUAGUGACCAUCUCAUCACAGUUGUCUCCUGAGACUCCCAUUCCCGGGAAGGAGAGUACUUGCCAGGGAAGCCAGCAGCACUCUGGGCGAACGUGUGCCCCUCAAGAGUGGCCGCAGGCUGUAGCAGGAUCCAGAGGAGAGGCGGGGCCGAGGCCCAGUCAGGGUCUCUGCAGGGUCCCUGCAGAGGCAGGGCCUCUGGGAGCCUGGGGGACCCGGGACAGGGAGGUGAAGGAGGAGUAACAGCAGGUGCGAGGCACCAAUGGCCAAUGUGGAAAUUAUGAGUGGGCGCUCCAGCUUCGUCUGCUGAGACCUCUCGCUCACUUCUCUGCGUCUUCACCCUUCCCCUCCUCCCCGGCGCCCCUGCCCUCUGUUAAUGCCAUUAACAGUGGGCGUUAUGUGUGGCACGGCAAGGCCAUGCUCUAAAACACGCGCCUGGGUCCUGAUGAGCCUGCGCUCUCCCUGUGUUUUGGGCGCUGCCUUCAGAGCAUGUUGGUAGUGAGAUGUGGAAGGCCACGCAGCUGUAGUGCACUCACUGUCGCAGCCUAACGGUGCCACACGGACCCGUAAGAGGACGCACAACUGUCAGCUGACUCCGUCACUGGGAAAAACAACACGGUAAACUACCCAUUUCCUGACCACAGUGGGCAAUCCAAUCUUUGGGGUACUAGACUCAUUAAUGCCUCCAAACAGCUUCAAAGUUAAGAUAAAAUGCAAUCUAAUUUCUAAUAAGAAAGCUGGAAUUUGGUUCAUUGUUAAUUCGUGGCAGCCUCACAUGAUCCACGAACCCCUUGGGUCAUGCAGGUCUGCGGGCCAUGCAGGUGAAGCCUCGAAGGGGGUGCCUGGCAGCGGAGGCGGAGGGUCACAGCCGCUCUCCUGUGCCCACGAACUCCUGCAGGAUUACUUUUCUUUGCUCUGGUGGGCACGUUUUUGGGCCUGGCAGAAGACUACCUGUUUUAGAAUUUCGCCAAGAUUUCAAGUGCUUCUGAAAUUGUACAUUGACAGAUCUAUUAAAAUGCGAAGGAUUGAGACAAAGGAAAGAUUCUAUUUUUUCUCACUUAGAACUCAGAAAUCAAAUAUAUACUGAGAGGAAAGACAAGUCACAAGAAUUCUCAAAUAUUCUGUGAAUUAAAACCAAAGGAAAUAAUUAUUUUCCUCACUGAAGGAUCUGAAUCUUAGAUAUUUAAUGUGUACUUCACAUUUGCUAUCUGGAUACAAUCUCUAUAGCAUGAGCCUUUGUAAAUCCUUCCUACUGACCAGUGAUGAAGACAGUGUCCAUUUCUAGGGUACAUUGUCUGCGAUUGCUGUCACUCUGAUACAUGAGAAAUACAUGGGAGGGAGUUUGAAAUGACAUUGAAUGAACUUGAGCAUACCUGGUCUUUGGCCUACUUUCCUGUAAGUUUAUGGUCUUUUUCUUCUCCAUUCUUGAAAACUCUUUUUCCAUUCAGUAUAUUACCCACUUUGUCGAAAUAUACAUAGAAAUGAUUUCUUCUCUCGG